UACGAAGGGGGCUAGCGUUGUUCGGAAUUACUGGCGUAAAGCGUGCGCAGGCGGCCAGUCCAAGUCAGUGGUGAAAGCCCGGGGCUCAACCCCGGAAUUGCAUUCGAUACUGGCGGUCUUGAGUGCGGGAGAGGUGAGUGGAAUUCCUGGUGUAGAGGUGAAAUUCGUAGAUAUCAGGAGGAACACCGGUGGCGAAAGCGGCUCACUGGCCCGACACUGACGCUCAUGCACGAAGCGUGGGGAGCAAACAGG
rnacentral:rRNA from 1 species